rnacentral:rRNA from 1 species
UACGGGGGGGGCAAGCGUUGUUCGGAAUUAUUGGGCGUAAAGAGCUCGUAGGCGGUCUGUCGCGUCUGCUGUGAAAACUCGGGGCUUAACCCCGGGCCUGCAGUGGGUACGGGCAGACUAGAGUGCGGUAGGGGAGACUGGAAUUCCUGGUGUAGCGGUGAAAUGCGCAGAUAUCAGGAGGAACACCGGUGGCGAAGGCGGGUCUCUGGGCCGUAACUGACGCUGAGGAGCGAAAGCAUGGGGAGCGAACGGG